rnacentral:ncRNA from 2 species
AAUAAUUUCGUUUUUAAUUGUCAUAUAUAUUCUUGAUAUGGAAGAAUGUUUCUACACUAAACCUUAAAUUUAGUUCUAUGAUAGAAUUUUUUGUUGGC